rnacentral:ncRNA from 1 species
AGUCGUAACAAGGUUUCCGUAGAUAUAAGUCCAUGAUUCUUCCGUGGUGACACUUAUAGAAGCCUGCGCGAGCCCGCAAGGGUCGCCACCACGACGGUAAAUAAAGGUGGUCUAUCGCAAGUCAGCAAUGGCGACAUAACCGAAUUGCGGGAAGCCCUAAAGCCUGGUAGUACCAACUGUGGAUGGAAACAUUCUCAGGGCCUAUGCUAACUACAUAGGGUGGUAAAAACCUGCCAGGAUAUUACAAUGGGUGAUCCGCGGCGAAGCCCCUAAGGUCUGGAGACUAUGGGGAACGUUCACAGACUAAGUGGUUAUGGGCGCUCUCUAGAGAGCGCUUAAGAUAUAGUCGGGUCCGUGGAGAAAUCCGGGGGGUAAGUCGCUACCAAAAAGCACAGAGGGUAUCGGAAGCAUCCGGCUCUUGACGAAUAACCGUUCCGUAGGUGAACCUGCGGAAGGAUCAUUACAGUGUUCCCUGCCCUCACGGGUAGAAACGCCCACCCUUGUGUAGUAUAUCUUGUUGCUUUGGCAGGCCGCCCUCGGGCGCCGGCUUCGGUCGGAUCGCGCCUGCCAGAGGCCCCCAAACCCGUGUCAUCGUGUCGUCCGAGUACUAUAUAAUAGUUAAAACUUUCAACAACGGAUCUCUUGNUCUGGCAUCGAUGAAGAACGCAGCGAAAUGCGAUAGUAAUGUGAAUUGCAGNAUUCAGUGAAUCAUCGAUCUUUGACNNACAUUGCGCCCCGUGGUAUUCCGCGGGCAUGCCUGUCGAGCGUCAUUUACCCUAUCAGCUGCUGGUNUNGGCCUCGCCUCCGGCGGCCUUGAAAUCAGUGGCGGCGCCACCCGGCUCUAAGCGUAGUAAUACNCUCGCUACAGGGCUCCGGGUGAACGCUGGCCAGCAACCCCACACUACAUCAGGUUGAUCUCGGAUCAGGUAGGGAUACCCGCUGAACUUAAGCAUAUCAAUAAGCGGAGGAAAAGAAACCAACAGGGAUUACCUCAGUAACGGCGAGUGAAGCGGUAACAGCUCAAAUUUGAAAUCUGGCCCUUUUAGGGUCCGAGUUGUAAUUUGCAGAAGAUGCUUCGGGUGAGGCGCCGGUCUAAGUUCCUUGGAACAGGACGUCGUAGAGGGUGAGAAUCCCGUAUGUGACUGGCCGCCUUCGCCCGUGUGAAGCUCUUUCGACGAGUCGAGUUGUUUGGGAAUGCAGCUCUAAAUGGGUGGUAAAUUUCAUCUAAAGCUAAAUAUUGGCCAGAGACCGAUAGCGCACAAGUAGAGUGAUCGAAAGAUGAAAAGCACUUUGGAAAGAGAGUUAAACAGUACGUGAAAUUGUUGAAAGGGAAGCGCUUGCAACCAGACUUGCGCCCCGUCGAUCAUCCCCCGUUCUCGGAGGUGCACUCGGCGGGGCUCAGGCCAGCAUCGGUUUCGGUGGUGGGAUAAAGGCCUUGGGAACGUAGCUCCUCUCGGGGAGUGUUAUAGCCCUCGGUGCAAUGCCGCCUACCGGGACCGAGGACCGCGCUCCGGCUAGGAUGCUGGCGUAAUGGUUGUAAGCGACC